GGGGAGUACGGUUGCAAGACUGAAACUCAAAGGAAUUGACGGGGGCCCGCACAAGCGGUGGAGCAUGUGGUUUAAUUUGAAGCAACGCGAAGAACCUUACCAGGUCUUGACAUCCUCUGACAAUCCUAGAGAUAGGACGUCCCCUUCGGGGGCAGAGUGACAGGUGGUGCAUGGUUGUCGUCAGCUCGUGUCGUGAGAUGUUGGGUUAAGUCCCGCAACGAGCGCAACCCUUGAUCUUAGUUGCCAGCAUUCAGUUGGGCACUCUAAGGUGACUGCCGGUGACAAACCGGAGGAAGGUGGGGAUGACGUCAAAUCAUCAUGCCCCUUAUGACCUGGGCUACACACGUGCUACAAUGGACAGAACAAAGGGCAGCGAAACCGCGAGGUUAAGCCAAUCCCACAAAUCUGUUCUCAGUUCGGAUCGCAGU
rnacentral:rRNA from 1 species